UAAAGAAGAGUUUCAUAACUAUAGGUAGGUCUACUGCCUAACAGACAAAUCCUUACAGGUCAUAUGAUCCAACACUUGAGACAUCAUGUCUAACUGUCCUCAAGCCAAAGUGGAAGUAAUGUCAGUUCUUCCCCUUGUCAACUUCAAGAAUUUCCACUUGUCAAUUUUAAGAAUGUGACAGCAGUUGACAAGCACCAAAUGUGUAAGUAUAAGGGAAGCUGGGUGUCCAAGAAGAGCAAAAGGGACCACAGAGCACCUAGCCAGUUUCUGGCACAAUCUAAUUUGGCCACCAGAUACCUGCCAUAUUACUUCUCCCUACACUCAACACUCUCAUCCUUUUAAUGUGACAAUCCUAAAGCCCACUCAGUCAUUGCCUCCGCUGAUGUUGGGAUUUCUCUUCCUAACCUAACCUCAGACCUGGAGGAUAUGAUAACACAGUUGUGGUUCAGGGACACAGUGGAAGGGACCUAUACAGACUGCGGAAGAAAUGUGUUAAUCUAACUUUCUAAACGCAUCUAUAGUGUCCUUGAAGAAAGAGUAUGAAAUAAAACUAUUUCAAGUCAUAAAUGAGAAAAUUUAAUGUAAAAUGAACCUGCAUAAAACAAAAUUCCUAUUUAAGGAUUUUCUAUUCAAAGAGGAUGAAAAGUGAUCCCAGAUGAAAGAUCUGCGAUGUUGGAAGAAACGAGGAUCCAAGAGAGAGAUGCAUCUGUGGAUUUAAAAGAUGCUCAUUAUCUGUGUAAGACAUGGAUAACAUUCUAUUACGAAGUUAGAACAAUAGCAUUGUCACUUACUGUCUCAAUAGCACACAUACACACACAAAUGGGACAAAAUGAUUAAUGUUCUAAGUCCCAAUAUUGUACAAGAGGAAAGUAAAGUAUUUGAAACCUCCCUCUUCUUUCUUUUUCUGGGGGGAGGUGCCGUACCUACGUCAUAUGGAAGUUCCCAGGCUAGAGGUUGAAUCAGAGCUGCAGCUGCUGGCCUAUGCCACAGCCAUGCCAGAUCCAAGCUACGUCUGUGACCUACGAUGCAGCCUGCAGUAACGCCGGAUCCUUAACCCACUGAUUGAGACCAGGGAUUGAUCCUGCAUCCUCAUGGAUUCUAGUCGGGUUCAUAACCUGCUGAGCCACAAUGGGAACUCCUGAAACCUUUUGUUCUAUCGUGUUAAAUAAGUGUAAUUUUUAGCUUAAACCAUACUAAGAGUCAGUGCAUACACUUUCGAACUAGAAGAAAGAAAAUCUUGAUUGUAAAUAAGUAAUCGAUAGAAACAAAAAAAUUACUACCUAGGAAACAGUGAGGCAAAGAUGUCUUCAAAAUAAAAGGAUAUUUAAGGCUAAAUAUAUCAACUAUUACAUUAAGUGCAUAUGAGAGAAAUAUGUUCAAAUUAGCAGCCAGUGAUUUUUAUUGGCCCCAAACGCCCUUUAUGAGGGAUUUAAUUUUCAUCAGUGAACUUAAAUUUUCAUUUAAAGCACAAUUAAUUCCAUGUUAUCCCCAGCUGCCACCUGUGGAAAAAGACCCAGGGGAUGGGCAGGGAUGUCCUGGGUUUGGCUGGUGGGAUGUCAAGAUCUUAUGCUGGAGAUCAUCAGGGUCAUGACCAAGGUACUUAAGGCCUAAAGCCAGCUGAAAUGUCGUUAGAAAACUGUGGUACAUAUGGUUUUAUCCAGAAAAUCCUUAAGUCAGAAGCAUUCUCUGGUGAGGGAGAUGGGAUGUGGGGAAAGGUUAGUACAAAGGAGGAAAACCAUAUGGGAUAAUAACUACAAAAGUAUCUCCUGUUUAUUAAGCAUAUUCAUAUAUCAAGCAUAUAUACAUGUACAGACAAUGCCCUUUAAUCUACAUAGCAGCCUGGAGGGAGGCCGGUUUACAGAGAAGGAAAUCAAGCUGCCCAGGAUAAUGUCUGAUAAGUAGCUGGGCGUAGUGCCCCACAGAGCUGCAGUUCUGGCCACCAUGCACAUGGUCUCCUGACCAGCAGCAUCUAACCUGGGCAGGGCCAAGACCCUUCUGAGUCAGAGAAACAAGACCACGGAAAAAUGAACCAUGCACAUAAUGCUUACGGAGACGGGGAAGAAUCGCACCUUUUCUGUGCUCCAGAAGCCUUUGGCUUCACCCAGUCACUCAACGUGUUCCUGGGUGCUGACUCAGAAAUCUAAACAUGAGAAUAGGACAUGCCCUGCAGUCCCGUGCAUGUAGUAGGCGUUUAACGACAGAGAUGUGAAAACCAUUCCCUGGAGUUCACUGCCUUAUCCCAACCAUCUGUACAUCCACACAUGCUGUUAGCGCUGCUUUCUAACACGUCCCCAGCCAUACUCUUCCCCACAGCUCAACACUGAAGUCCUGGGCCAGUCCACCAGCAACACACUCCUGGAUUAUACAGCCUGGCCAUGUCCCUGGCAUCAGUUCUUGGCUCUGCUGAGUACAUUCCCCACGCAGUAGUUAGAGGGAGAUUUAACACGUCAGAUCAUGUCUCUAAUCUAGUGAAACCCUCCUACAGCCUCCCAGAGCAAUUAGGAGAAAAUCUAAAUUUCUCACAGAGGCCGAUAAAAACCUGCACAUCUCUGCAUCCCCCUCCAUAUUUCACUGCCUGCCACUCCCCUCAGCUACAAUGGCCCAGCUCUUGCCAGCCUCAGAAUCUUUGCCCACGCUGUUUUCUUUCGCAGGAAUACUAUUCCCUACCCUUGAGCAGGGCUUCAGUGCCUACCAAGGAGUCUGCACAAAACCUAUUCUUUAGUGUCUGCUCUCCUUACUGCACUCUACAAUAAGAUUUAAUGACCAUCUUCCCAUUUCUACAGACAAGAAUGCUAAAGCCCAGGGAGAAGAGACACAUCCAAGUCUGGUGGUGGGAAUAGCUCAAAAGUGCUGGAAUCCCAGUCUAUACUCAGAAUCCAAUUUCUUAACAACCAGCAACUAGACUACUCUCCCCCUGUGUUGCGAGACAUGUUUUUAUAAUAUUUUCUUAGCCUCUUUGCUGAAAACUCCAUCUUGUCCUUCCUUACUUUGUCCCAUCUUCCUGCUUGAGAAACAGUCUCGGCGAAGGUACAGUGAGCCACUGACUAUGCGUCAGGCACUAGCAUAUGCAGUUUAUAUUGGUCAGAUCCUCAAACAACUCAAUGAGAUAAAAUGAGAUAGUAUUAUUAUUAUUACCAUUUUCUAACUGUAAGCUGAGUAUAGCAGACCAAAUAGAGGUUUACCAAAUCCAUUUGCUUUUCUCCUGGAGCACGCAGCUAACCCAUUUCCUAGCCCUGGGAAUCCAUGUGUGGCCAAAUGCCCAGGUUUCAUCAGUGGGAUAUCAAUGCAGUGGCAAUGGCAAUGCUAUGUGCACAAGAGAGUAUGACUUCUUUCAUGCCUCUCACUUGCCCUCUGCUCAACAGCCAGUGCCAGGAAAGCCUAAAUUAAGUCAUUUGUUGACAAUAAAAGGUACCUCGUUUCCUAAAUAACUGUGGUACAGAGCUUCCCACUGACCUAUGCAGAUCUUGGCAUGGAUGAGGAAAAGAAACAAAAACAGAAACAAAACUCCCAGUGCUGAGCUGCUGCUGAGAUUACACUUUCUCUAUUAGAGUAGCUAGCAUUAACUUAGCCUAUUUCUAACAUUAAUGAGACCAUUCAACAGCACCACGGUCACAAAACUAAAGAGAGACAAAGCAGAGUUCCCAUUGUGGCUCAGUGGUUAAUGAACCUGACUGGUAUCCAUGAGGUUCAAUCCCUGGCCUCACUCAGUGGGUUAGGGAUCUGGCGAUGCCGUGAGCUGUGGUGUAGUUUGAAGUCACAGCUCGGAUCCCUCAUUGCUAUGCCUGUGGUGUAUGCUGGUAGCCACAGCUCUGAUUCGACCCCCUAGCCUGGAAACUUUCAUAUGCCGCAGGUGCAGCCCUAAAAAGACAAAAAAAAAAAAAAAAAAAAAAAAAAAAAAAAAAAAAGGACAAAGCCAGGUGUUAAACCCAAAAAUAUGCAGUAUAUAGCCUGACAUUUACCUAAUACAACCUACUCUUCCCUAAGUAACUAGGAAGGGUGAGAGGACAGGUCAAAGGGUUCCAUGGCAGCCCAGGCCCCCAGAGAGGUCACAGUAAGAGGCUUCCCAGUGGUCCUCUACUGGUCUUCAGGGUGCAGUAGCACCCCCCCUCCCUCCACUGGUUAUUCGUCACCCACCUGGACAGGAACUUUAGGAAAGACCUCUCUUCACCAUGCAUAAAUCUUGCUCAUUCUCCAGCAGGUGGAUCAGUUCUGGUUUGGGAACAGGAUACCCUGACCGUGGAAAAAUAGGACAGCAGUGUUUGAGUAAAGGCACAAAUGAACCUCUCUAUUCCAUAUGACAUUCAAAGAUGAGAUCUUGGAAUGGGACUGCUCUUACUCAUGCAAAGAAAAUGCUGGCGUAGAAUCUGGAAACCAAGAACACAAACGUCAUCCUUGGACCAAGAGGCUGGAUGUAGCUGUCUACCUAACAUGCAUUACCCUUGAUUUCCAUUCCACAGAAUCAAAUUCAGGGGCACCCUUCCCUUUACACAUGGCUAUAGGACCCCAAGAAGGUGACAUCCUCUUCCCAGAAGCUAUUUUCUCAUUAACCUAAGUCAGUAUCUCAACCUCCCUGGGCAUCAGAACAACAUGAGGAUGCCUGGUUUUGACCGUGAGCCAAAAGGAGUCAAAUCUCUGGGGGAGAAGAAGCCUGGACACAGCUGCUUUAAAAGCUCUGCAAAAUAUAAAAUAAAAUAAAGUAAAAU
rnacentral:lncRNA from 1 species